UACGAAGGGGGCGAGCGUUGUUCGGAAUCACUGGGCGUAAAGGGCGCGUAGGCGGCCCCUCUUAGUCGCGUGUGAAAGCCCCGGGCUCAACCUGGGAACGGCGCGCGAAACGGGAGGGCUGGAGUUCGGGAGAGGAGAGUGGAAUUCCCAGUGUAGAGGUGAAAUUCGUAGAUAUUCGCAAGAACACCAGUGGCGAAGGCGGCUCACUGGCCCGAUACUGACGCUGAGGCACGAAAGCGUGGGGAGCAAACAGG
rnacentral:rRNA from 1 species